rnacentral:lncRNA from 1 species
ACCAGAGGGAUGAGGAAAAACGUGCUGUGUAUGUAAGCUAGGUGUUUUAGAAAACAUGGAGUUGUUCCUUUGGCCACAUAUGAAUGAAUACAUAGGAAAGAUGAAAUUGUAGGCAUCCGGGGAAUGGGUGCUGUUCAAAACAGAACCCCUACAGGUGCUACCAUCCAUGCAAGUCAGACAAGUCCCCACUGUUACCCAGCAUGCUCUUGGCAUUGCUGUAAGCAGAGAAGUGAAGGGCAAGAAUCUUGCCAAGAAAAUGGGCACACUGAAUACAUUAAGUUCUCUUGAGAGAUGAGCUAGCUUCUUAAAAACCCUGAAAGAAUAUGAUUAGAAAAAGAAGGAG